rnacentral:lncRNA from 10 species
AUCCCUGGGAUCCAAGACAGGUCCGCAUCAUACUGCCAGGGGAUCCUCGGGGUUAGGCACCCAGGAAUGGAUGGGAUGCAGGCAGGGCUGGGACUGGUGGCUGGCUCUAUUGUGCUCUGAUGCUGCAGGAACAGACCAGAUGUCAUCCAGGGGCCCGGAAUUUGGGGGGCGCCGCUGGGUGUGGCAGCAUCAGAAGCCUCAGAUCCGCAUCUCCAUCUGCCACAGGAUUUUCAUUCAUCAGUGCUUGACACUCCCCUACCUCUGCUAGAACACCAUAUGCAUGAAGGCCAAGAUCUUCAUCACUGCUUCACUUUUAUUCUUUCCUGUAUCCCAAGCACCAAGCAGCACAGUGUUUGGCACACAGUAAAGUGCUUAACAAAUAGCUGUUGAAUGAAUGAAUGUGCCUGCCACCAUCUCAUACAUGUUACAGGCAUCACUGCUGCUGCUGGGCUUGUGGUCUGGUCU